CUAUGGGGCCAGGUGAGGAUCUAUGGGGUCAGCUGACGAUCUAUAGGGCGUAGUCAGGAUCUAUGGGGCCAAGUGAGGAUCUAUGGGGCCAGGUGAGGAUCUACGAGGCCUGGUCAGGAUCUAUGGGGUCAGCUGACGAUCUACAGGGCGUGGUCAGGAUUUAUGGGGCCAGGUGAGGAUCUACGGGUCCUGGUCUGGACCUAUGGGGCCAGGUGAGGAUCUAUGGGGCUGGGGGGCUGCGUACCUGCAGGCGGCGUGCCCCCUUGUUGCGCCGUGUGGGGCCGCGGGGCCGCUCGGGGGGGGCCAGGUACUCGGCCGGAAACGGGCUGUACGGGGGGGAGCCCAACUGCAACCGGGGUCAAAGGUCAGGGGUCAGGGGUCAGCCGUGAGAUGGCGGCGCCCUCAUCCAAGAUGGUGGCGCCCUCACCCAAGAUGGCGGCAUGCACUGCCAAAAUGGCGGUGCCCACAACCAAGAUGGCGGCGCCCUCAUCCAAGAUGGCGGCGCCCACACCCAAGAUGGCGGACCUCGCUUCCACAAUGGCGGCGCCCACAUGCAAGAUAGUGGCGCCCGCGACCAAGAUGGCCGACCCUGCUUCCAAAAUGGCGGCGCCCACACCCAAGAUGGCGGAGCUCGCUCCCAACAUGGUGGCGCCCUCAUCCAAAAUGGCAGCACCCACACCCAAGAUGGUGGUGCCCACACCCAAGAUGGCGGAGAUCGCUCCCAAGAUGGCGAUGCCCACACCCAAGAUGGUGGCGCCCUCAUCCAAGAAGGCGGAGCCCACAUCCAAGAUGGCGGCGGCCGCGUUCAAGAUGGCGGCGCUCGCUUCCAAAAUGGCAGCAUCCACACCCAAGAUGGCGACGCCCACACCCAAGAUGGAAGCACCCACUCCCAAGAUGGCGACUCCCGUGUCUAAUAUGGCGUCGCCCACACCCAAGAUGGCGACGCCCAAACCGAAAAUGGCGACACGCACUCGCAAGAUGGCGGCGCCCAGGCAGGGGGGCGGCCAUCUUGGCGGCAGGGACUCACCGUGCUCAGGUAGGAAGUGGGCG
rnacentral:lncRNA from 1 species